rnacentral:sRNA from 1 species
GUUUCUCCAGUGCGCGGAAGGAUGAGAAGCUUCGACCAAGGUUCGAUUCGAGCGUAGCGAGAAAGCGUUGCCGCAGGCAACGACCCGAAGGGCGAGGCGCAACGCGCCGAGUCAUCCUUCCCCCACCACCA